GGUUAAGGGCUAGCUCGGCAGCCCGUUUCCCUUUUUCCGCGGAGGAAAGUUUCCACGGGCUAGCUAACCGAAGCCUGCUGGACGGGGAAGUUCGACCCGUCUGAGCCUAUUUUCCCGCGGGAGGCACUCGCCGUCUCCUCGUCCCUCGUCUCGCCCGCUCCGGCAGGCCGCCGCCGCUCCCGGCUCCCGCGCGACCUCCUCCAAGGAUCCAGGUUCAGGGUUAGCUCCGGCGUCAGCUCGAGUCCUACGACCGCGGAAUUGCUAGAUCUGCGGACUCGCCGCUACCUCCUCCGCCUCCGCAUCAGGUGCUACUUCCAAUUACCGAGCUAGUCUGCCGGUGUUCUGGAUCCACUGAUACAAGUUGAUGAACUCAGCUAGGGGGCAGAGAUGCGUUACAUUACAUUAUUGAUCAUCCGCAUCUAGUAAUUACUAUGGCAGUUAUAAAGAAGUACUAGUAUAAAUCGCUCGUGCAAAUUCGGUUUGAUUGGACUGAAUUAGGGGCCAUUUUGUUUUUAGUUUUUUUACCUUGCUAGUACGUCGGUGACUUGCUCGGUUGCUCAGUUCCACUGGUCACCAUCACUAGAGAAGUUCAGUUGCUUCAAUAUGUGUUAGCGAUCAAUGUGCUGUCCUUACAUAACAAGAAAUUGUCUUAACAUAUUUAAAUAUUAGUUUGUAAGGUCACUAACAGAAUCCCUGUUAUAACAGAUUAGCCAAUAAAAUAAAACUGCUUCCCAAUCUGACUAGUCCUAGUACUUUCUUUCUUAGAGCAACAAGUGAUAUUACUUUCUAACAUCACUGAAAAAAAUUGAUGAGUGUUUUUCUUUUCAAACAAAAAGGUACAUGUACAUCACCCAAAUAGAAGUACUGCAUCACUUGGAAGCUAGUAUUCUCGAAUAAAUUGUCUUCAAGCUAAAGUGUAAUAAAUAUGUUCUCAUCAUGUGGAAAUCACAGUGUUUGUCUGGAGUGCUAAAGUGUUUGUCAAGUAGCUAUAAGACUUCCACUAGAAACUAGAAAUGCACUGAGUUCAACAGGGUAAAUUUGUUCUCACCAUGUGUAAUUGUGAUCAGUAGGCUGAGCAAGUUGCCUGAAUUUUGGCUAAGCAAUUUGACUGUUGAUUAGCUUUUCUAGUGGAUUGUCGAUAAUUGUUCCGCAAACAGUAUUUUGAUCAAUCAGGUCCUUUUUUUAAAAAAAAUAGUUUUUAGUCCUUGGUUUGACCCAUUGAUCAUUGGUUGGUAGACAGGUAGAGCAAGUUAAUAUUAAUUGUAUGAUAAAUGCAAUCUGUUACUAUCUCAGCAUCUGUUAGCAUCUCUAUAAAAAGAUCUGUUAGCUCAAAGAAUUAUUGGCCAUCAGAUAAAAAUAAUAUAUAUCAGUGUUUUGACAUAUUAAUCCGGUGAUGAUCAUUUUUAUGUGGUCCUUCUCAAUGUGUGCCUUUAGUUGGAUGUGGUGUCAUCUGCAAGCAACUUUCCAGUAAUUUUUGCAUUUUCUUCAGUUACAACUAUGACAAACUGGCUGGUUAGUGUGCCUAGUAUCUGCUAUCAAGUUGCUAAGUCAAGGCGAUAAGCUUUUCCAUUAUGACAAUUUAAAACCAUGAGAUCCAGAUGAGGGUGGAGUUUGUAAUGAACUGUAUACUGACUUGAUCGAUUUUGUGGUACACACACACAUAGAUAACUUCUAAACAUAAUCUGGGUCUAAGUUGCAGAUGCUUCUUUUAUUUGACCUUGUGAUUAGGACUAGGACUCUGCAGAGUCUUGAAAUCCUGCUUAUAAGGUUGCUGCUAUUUUAUUUUGAAUCCAAUGUGCACAAUAAUUGUGCUGUCAAACUAAAUUUGUUAUACGUGUUCAGCUGCAGAGGUUUGCAGCACCCAGAUGAGGCAUAUGACUGAGAGAUGGUUCCUGACAACUGCAUCACAGUUUAUCUCUUUAUUCAAGUAGAUUAUUUUUAGAAGUAGAAAUAGAUAGGGAUUUGCAUUUUCUAGAGAUCUAGUUUAUCUGCAUCAAGGUGUCUAUGGCCACGCUACAAGUAUCUGAAGUUUGCAGGAUAAAUGCUUAUGUCAGUCUCAUGCUCAUGAUCUGAAGAACUUUUGUGCAGCAACAGAACUGAAUGAACUCAUGUUACAUUUUACUUUUUAAUAUCUGUGUGGAUGAAUUGACGGAGAGAACUAUUUGCUAUGGAUUAACUUGACUUGAUUAAUAAUAUAACUCCAAUUUUGGUACAUGUUCGUGUUAUCUUUCUCAAAUAUUUCCUAAUUUUGUGGUGCUGAUGUAGUUCCUGUCAUUAGUUACUGUGCAGUCGUUUUUCCUGAUUUCCCCCUCAAUUUUUCUGGUUUUUUUUUUCUCGAGUUUUUUCAUUUUUUUUAUUAUUUUAUGGGGUUUUCUGAUUUUUUUGAAUAUUUUCUCCGUUUCCUGGGAGGCUCAGCCCUCCGCUUCCAAAUAGUGGCAGGGAAUGGUGGGGAUCUUCCCUCGGGAAAUGAAGUGCCCACUAAAAUCCCCCUGGUGGCUUUUUUUCCCGGGGUUUGACUCUCCUUACUGCCAAAUUAGCCCGUAGGAGUUGGCCAGCCCGAGCCUCGUGUUUUCCCCAGAGCGGCACCUUCCCACCUCACCACAUCGGGCAUGGCUCCCCCAUCUCACGCGCGACGUUCGUCGUUCUCUCAUCGUGAGUGACCGCCGCGCUGCGCCAGUGCUGUUCCGCCUCCCCAUCCAAGCACCGCCGUUCUGCCUCACCGUCCAGGUGCUGCCGGUCCUCCCCAUCCAUCCAGGUGCUACUGCUUUGCCUCCUGAUAGGCGACAGGCGCAGCUUGUCCUCCCCACCUUUUGACUGCAACACCACCGCUCCCCUCGGACAUCUGGAUCUGCAGCAGCACCUCCACCUUGGCCACCUCCUUGGCAUCUUCUACCACGGCGUCUCCACAUCAUCAGCGUCCUCAGUGUCCACUGUUAUGCCACGGACAAAUAAAGCUUGCACAUACCUUGGAUUGUGAAAAGGACCGACUUUGUUCGCGUAGAGUGGGACAUGAUCCCCCUCCUUGUACUUGUGAUCAGAGCCAUCAGCUCUGGCUCCCAUCGCACAAGACAAA